rnacentral:rRNA from 1 species
GACGAACGCUGGCGGCGUGCUUAACACAUGCAAGUCGUACGGUAAGGCCCUUUCGGGGGUACACGAGUGGCGAACGGGUGAGUAACACGUGAGUAACCUGCCCACAACUUUGGGAUAACGCUAGGAAACUGGUGCUAAUACUGGAUAUGUGCUCCUGCUGCAUGGUGGGGGUUGGAAAGCUCCGGCGGUUGUGGAUGGACUCGCGGCCUAUCAGCUUGUUGGUGGGGUAGUGGCCUACCAAGGCGGCGACGGGUAGCCGGCCUGAGAGGGUGACCGGCCACAGUGGGACUGAGAUACGGCCCAGACUCCUACGGGAGGCAGCAGUGGGGAAUAUUGCACAAUGGGCGCAAGCCUGAUGCAGCAACGCCGCGUGCGGGAUGACGGCCUUCGGGUUGUAAACCGCUUUCAGCAGGGACGAAGCUUUUAGUGACGGUACCUGCAGAAGAAGCACCGGCUAACUACGUG